rfam:Ixodes scapularis strain Wikel colony gcontig_1108378759092, whole genome shotgun sequence.
CUCUGGUUAGCUCAGUUGGUUGAGCGCCCCACUGAAAAUGAAGAGGUCCCUAGUUUGAUACCAGGACCAGGCU